CGGGGUGUAGUUUAACGGUAGAAUGCGCGGCUGGGGGCCGUGCGACGACAGUUCAACUCUGUCUACCCCGACAA
rnacentral:tRNA from 2 species